rnacentral:rRNA from 1 species
GCAAGUCGAGCGAUGAAACACCUUCGGGUGUGAAUUAGCGGCGAACGGGUGAGGAACACGUGAAGAAUCUGCCUUCAACUCUGGGAUAACUCCGGGAAACCGGGGCUAAUACCGGAUAUGAGCCUUGAUCGCAUGAUCGGGGCUGGAAAGUUUUUCGGUUGAAGAUGACUUCGCGGCCUAUCAGCUUGUUGGUGAGGUAAUGGCUCACCAAGGCGACGACGGGUAGCCGGCCUGAGAGGGCGACCGGCCACACUGGGACUGAGACACGGCCCAGACUCCUACGGGAGGCAGCAGUGGGGAAUAUUGGGCAAUGGAGGAAACUCUGACCCAGCGACGCCGCGUGAGGGAUGAAGGCCUUCGGGUUGUAAACCUCUUUCAGUAGGGAAGAAGCGAAAGUGACGGUACCUACAGAAGAAGCACCGGCUAACUAUGUGCCAGCAGCCGCGGUAAUACAUAGGGUGCAAGCGUUGUCCGGAAUUAUUGGGCGUAAAGAGCUCGUAGGUGGUUCGAUACGUCGGAUGUGAAAAUCAGGGGCUCAACCCCUGACCUGCAUCCGAUACGGUCGAGCUAGAGUUUGGUAGGGGAGACUGGAAUUCCUGGUGUAGCGGUGGAAUGCGCAGAUAUCAGGAGGAACACCGAUGGCGAAGGCAGGUCUCUGGGCCAAUACUGA